AGCGUUUUGUUGGGAACCACGGCGCGUGUGGGAGGAGCUCAAAUUUGCAUCUGGCACCUUCGGUGUCCGAGUUGUAAUCUCUAGAAAUGUUUUCCGCGUUGGACCGCACACAAGUCUGUUGGAAUACAGCGGCAUAGUGGUGAGACCCCCGUAUAUGGUGCGGACGCCCAGCGCUUUGUGAUACAUUUUCGAAGAGUCGAGUUGUUUGGGAAUGCAGCUCAAAUUGGGUGGUAAAUUCCAUCUAAAGCUAAAUAUUGGCGAGAGACCGAUAGCGAACAAGUACCGUGAGGGAAAGAUGAAAAGCACUUUGGAAAGAGAGUUAACAGUACGUGAAAUUGUUGGAAGGGAAACGCUUGAAGUCAGACUUGCUUGCCGAGCAAUCGGUUUGCAGGCCAGCAUCAGUUUUCCGGGAUGGAUAAUGGUAGAGAGAAGGUAGCAGUUUCGGCUGUGUUAUAGCUCUCUGCUGGAUACAUCUUGGGGGACUGAGGAACGCAGUGUGCCUUUUGGCGGGGGUUUCGACCUCUUCACACUUAGGAUGCUGGUGGAAUGGCUUUAAACGACCCGUCUUGAACCCGGGACCAAACUGUCCA
rnacentral:rRNA from 1 species